rnacentral:rRNA from 1 species
GGGGUUUGACAUGAUAGCGAAGUCUGCAGAGAUGUAGACGUUCGGGGCGCUAUGAC